rnacentral:rRNA from 1 species
UACGGGGGGGGCAAGCGUUGUUCGGAAUUACUGGGCGUAAAGGGCUCGUAGGCGGCCAACUAAGUCCGACGUGAAAUCCCAAGGCUUAACCUUGGAACUGCGUCGGAUACUGGAUGGCUUGAGUUCGGGAGAGGGAUGCAGAAUUCCAGGUGUAGCGGUGAAAUGCGUAGAUAUCUGGAGGAAUACCGGUGGCGAAGGCGGCAUCCUGGACCGACAUUGACGCUGAGGAGCGAAAGCUAAGGGAGCAAACGGG